GUGCUCGCUUUGGCAGCACAUGUACUAAAAUUGGAACGAUACAGAGAAGAUUAGCAUGGCCCCUGCGCAAGGAUGAAUGGACGGACGGACGGCAAUCUGUUCUU